rnacentral:rRNA from 1 species
GACGAACGCUGGCGGCGUGCUUAACACAUGCAAGUCGAACGGAAAGGCCUUUUCGGCGGUACUCGAGUGGCGAACGGGUGAGUAACACGUGGGUGAUCUGCCCUGCACUCUGGGAUAAGCCUGGGGAACUGGGUCUAAUACCGGAUAGGACCGCACUUUAGUGUGUGUGGUGGAAAGUUUUUUCGGUGUAGGAUGAGCCCGCGGCCUAUCAGCUUGUUGGUGGGGUAAUGGCCUACCAAGGCGGCGACGGGUAGCCGGACUGAGAGGUUGGUCGGCCACAUUGGGACUGAGAUACGGCCCAGACUCCUACGGGAGGCAGCAGUGGGGAAUAUUGCACAAUGGGCGCAAGCCUGAUGCAGCGACGCCGCGUGGGGGAUGACGGCCUUCGGGUUGUAAACUCCUUUCGCCAGGGACGAAGCGUUUUGUGACGGUACCUGGAGAAGAAGCACCGGCUAACUACGUG